rnacentral:rRNA from 1 species
GCUUGCUUCUUUGCUGGCGACCGGCGCACGGGUGAGUAACACGUAUCCAACCUACCCUUUACUCGGGGAUAGCCUUUCGAAAGAAAGAUUAAUACCCGAUAGCAUAAUGAUUCCGCAUGGUUUCAUUAUUAAAGGAUUCCGGUAAAGGAUGGGGAUGCGUUCCAUUAGGUUGUUGGUGGGGUAACGGCCCACCAAGCCUUCGAUGGAUAGGGGUUCUGAGAGGAAGGUCCCCCCACAUUGGAACUGAGACACGGUCCAAACUCCUACGGGAGGCAGCAUG